rnacentral:rRNA from 1 species
AAUGUAUAGCAAUAGCUACUUGCAUCAUUGUAAAUAUGAUGCAAGAUCGACUAUGUCGAAUAAAAUUCUAGGUAGAAUUAUGAUAAUGACAUUGUCUGCCUAUGUGUCUUGACCAAAUUACGUGCCAGCAGUCGCGGUAAUACGUAGAAGACUAGUGUUAUUCAUGUUUAAUCGGUUUAAAGGGUACCUAGACGGUAAAUCAAGCCUAAAAGGAAAGAAAUGAAGGGACUAAUUUACUAGAGUUACUUAUGAGGGGGUAUUAAAGUACUGCUGGUGUAGAGAUGAAAUUCUGUCAUACCUCUUUUCAAUAGAAAAAUAAUGGCACAGGUAUAGGCGAAAGCAUCCCCUUAUGUGAUAACUGACGUUGAGGGACGAAGGCUUUGUGUAGCGAACAGGAUUAGAUACCCCAGUAGUCAAAGCAGAAAAUGAUGAAUGUCAUAGAUUAGAUAUAUAAGUUUAUUCUAUAAAUGAAAGUGUAAGCAUUCCACCUCAAGAGUAAUUUGGCAACAUUGGAACUGAAAUCAUUAGACCGUUUCUGAAACCAGUAGUGAAGUAUGUUGUUUAAUUUGAUGAUCCGCAAAAAACCUUACCACAAUUUGAAUAUUUAUAUCUUAUAUUGUUUUUUUUUUAACUUUAUUCUAAUUUUCUACUUAAAAGAAAACAAUAACAAGAAAAAAGAGACAAGAAGAUAUAUUUACAAGCGUUGCACGGCUGUCUUCAGUUAAUGUCGCGAGACUAUGGUUAGUUCCAUUAAAUUAACGUAAACCCUUACUUUAUUUUUAUAUAGAGUAGUUCCCCGCUAUAUUGGAUAUGAUAACAGG